CGAAUCAUCCACAAUGGGCGAAAGCCUGAUGGUGCGACGCCGCGUGGGGGAUGAAGGCCUUCGGGUCGUAAACCCCUGUCACCAGGGAACAAAAAGUCGGUUCAUACCCGACCUUGAGUUAACCUGGAGAGGAAGCAGUGGCUAACUCCGUGCCAGCAGCCGCGGUAAUACGGGGACUGCAAGCGUUCCUCGGAUUCACUGGGCGUAAAGGGUGCGCAGACGGCCAAAUGUGUCAGGUGUGAAAUCCCGGGGCUUAACCCCGGAACUGCGCCUGAAACUGUUUGGCUAGAGGCUCGGAGAGGUAAGCGGAAUUCCAGGUGUAGCGGUGAAAUGCGUAGAUAUCUGGAGGAACACCUAAGGCGAAGGCAGCUUACUGGACGAGUUCUGACGUUCAGGCACGAAAGCGUGGGGAGCAAAA
rnacentral:rRNA from 1 species